GAGCAGAGCUGGGAUGUAAGGAUUAGUGCUGGGCUGCUCUGUCCCCCAGACUCCCGGGUGUCGCGGCACCGGAGCAACUGCGUCGGCAAGUCAGUACACCUUGGAGGAAAUUACACCACCUCUCCGAGUGGCAUAAGUUUGGCUUAAGUACCUCACACCCUCACUCACAUAGACCCUCGUGUCAGCAGGGUGGGUACCCCAGGGCUUGUGAUUUACCUACCCCAAACGUGAACGUGAGCCUUCAAUGAUGUAGCGAUGCAAGAAGUCAUUUGCAGUGCAUGCGUGGGCUUAAUUCCAUCCCCGAGAGAGACUCUGCUAGGGUUUACUAUAUAGUAACGUAAAACCGUGUUUUAAAAAUACCGCUUUAAUAUACUGUGAUGUGCUACAUGAUACCUUGGACUGAUUAUAUGUGAUGCAUAUUUCAAUGAACCUUAAUGAGACUUGCAAAAGUAAGAGGCAAAUUUGAGAGAAAAUUGGAUUAAAUGGCUUAAUUCUCCAUAGUUAAAGACUUUAAAUUUUAAUCAAGUCUUGAGUCUGGGACUAAUAACUCUCAGACUGGAUGUUUAAAAUGACUAAAAUUUAAAACCAAAUAAGUAUAAUUUAAUGUGCAUUAUCACCAAUGUAUUUGUGUAGCGGUAAUUCCUAGAGGUACAAACAUUAAAAUGACAAAUUUCAAAAGCCAGCAUAGGCCUUUCCCAAAACUCGUGGUUGGAUUUUGCUAUGGUUUUGCCCAGCUGUACUGAGGGUGGUAUCCUGCACUGCUGCAAACCCAGUUGCCCCAGUGCAAACUUCUGUAAGACACCCUUAGCGAUCUGUAUUGGCGCAGUUCUUGUUCCCAGUGGUGGGGCAAUGCAAUACCAAUCCUGGUCUUGCUUCAUGUGUAGAACAGUUUCUCUGUUAUCUGCCUGAAAUGCAGUCUUUACAGAAAAAAACGUGAAAGAGAUGGUUUGGAUUCCGGUUGGUUAUUCCCCGUGCCUGUAGCCGCAAUGCCUCCCUCUCAGGAGUAUUCUGGACUUUAUAAAUUUUAUAAAGUUUGUGGAUUUCAAAGUUUCCUUCAGCUUGGGGUUUCUUUUCCACCUGGCUCCCACAGUUCUGGGGGACUUUGUGUUAGACUGAACAGAUCAUUUAUGAGCAGUGGAACUGGUGAGUCCCAGACCCUUUCAGGGACUUUUUUAAGCUCCUUCUCACACAGGGUUUGUCUCACAGAUUUUUCACAUCGGCUAUCUUCUCACACAUAGGUUUGUCCGCUUGUCUGGGAAUGCAUGUGUGCGUGUGUGUGGCCAUGCGUGGCUGGGGUUAAUUAAUUUUUUCUCUCUUCUACUUACCAGUCACCAUCCAUACCUCUUCAUACCACACAGCAGGUUUUGAUAGUGGCCAUCAUGUACGUGAAAAUGAGCUGGGCUUUUAAGAAGCCUGCCUGUACUAGACAUUUUGUUGGUUGUCGUGAGGUAAUGAGGGAUUGUCUUGGCCUAGCAAAAGGUAUUUGUAUUUGUUAAUUGGAAAGAAGACAUAAAACUUUCUACAAGUUAAUUUGUUGGAUUUAUAUAUCUAUAGAGGAUCAUGAGAAUGCUUCAGUGAUAAACAGUAAGAAACUUUUAAUAAGACAUUUUUUGAAGUUAGGCAGUUUUGACUACAAUUUUAAUAACCUUAGUGAAGUCAUCAUCAUAAUUCUAAAAUAAUUUAAUAAGUUUGUUGUGUCCUUAAGACGUUACUAAUAUAGAAUUAUGUAAAAAUAAAUGAAUUAAUGUUUGACUAAUGAAAUAAGAUAUUCUGGAAGUGCUAUGGAAUAUACAAGUAUAUAAGCUGAACAGUUUGAGUUUCGAUAUGCUUAAGAAAUAAUUCUUCAGACCUUUUCCCAAGAUGACACCUUUACUUUCUGUGGAUCAACUUGUCCUGUCAGGGUAAAGAUGCUGUGUCUGUAAUGGGGAUAAGAAACCUCUAGAAGUGCCUUGCUUUCAGUCUACUUUUGGAGUUACUUUUAGUAUUGCUAGUCACAUAUGAGACUAGCAAAGGUAGUAAGUAUCCAUUAACUUUCAUCCAGUCUCAGUUGAAUCUGGUGGUCGAGUGUCUUUAAUAUCACUAAGACUUCCACUGUUCUGCUAGAUUUGGUUGAAAUUGUCCAAGAGGUUGAAAAAUUAUUGGGGAAAGCAGGGUAAUAGUUGAGUGAAUGGAUAAUGAGCCUGCAUAAACCUCAUUUCCUUAGGACAUUAUACAACACAGUGAACAGUCUGCUGGAUGGGGGCAUCUUCAAUAUUUAGCAGUAUAGAUGUUUUGUUUCAGUUGUUAAUCUUACUGCCAGUUUGUGGAGAAAAAAUUCAGUUUGCUUAACAGAAAAAAUACUAAUCAGUCUUCAUCAUGCUUGGCUUUUUCUUCGGAAAACAUGUAAGAGUUAAACUGAAUAUAUUCUAGCUCGAGUUAGCUGUAGUUAGCAUUUCUGAUCAGAACAUCCAGUUCUUUCUUCUCUCUUUCCUUUGGAAAUUAUGUUUUUAUUUCAACAGUACUUUCUACCAGCAGGCAAAGCUGCUGUUACACUCUACCCAGCUGUGAAAUCAAUAUGAUUUUCAUUACAAAGAUAACAGAAACUCUCUUAGAAAGACUGUGAAUUGCCAAAGGUCAAAUAACAGUCAGUGGCAGAGCUUAGAAUUUAGAUGUCCUAAUUAAAAAAUCUCGUGCUAUAAAUAUAUUAAUGAAAUGCACCCUGAGAAAUGUUUGCAUUUAAGAUGGCAACAAUUUUAAACUAUUACAUUGUUUCUUUAAUUACUGUAGUUAAUGUAAGUCACAUCAAAAUGUGACGAAUUCUUUCUCUGGUUUAUGACUGUUUCUUCUAAAAUAGGUAUUAUCUCUUCUUUCUUUUUUUAAAUUCACAAUUAUUUAAGCAUGAUUAGAUUAGAAAGUGUAACAGUCACAGAAGAGAGAACAUAUCUAGUAAGAUUUCUGUCAUAUUGGACUCUAAAAAUUACACAUAAACCGAAUGAAUGGGUGCAUCAGUUAUUUCUGUGAUGUAUGACUUCAUUAACAACAAGAGGAAGUGCACAGUCAAACUGAAAGCAGCACUUGAGUCUUUCAGCCAGAGCAGCCAGUUCUAUUUAAAUUAAAAUCAGCAUUGUAAAAUAAAUGUUAUUACUCUUCCUAAGAUCAUCCUUGAUCUCUUCUUAUUAAACCUUAAUUUUUCCAGCAGUUAAGUUACAUCUGCCUUAUUAUGGUUGAAAAUAACAGGAAAUCAAUUAUUUUGUUACUUGUAUUUGUUUGAGAUCCCUCUCUCCUCUCUCUCUGUUUUUGUUUAAAUUCUGUCUUUUCCACCCCGCAUGCUAAAACAGUAAACUCAGAUUGCCAAAUACCGUGGAUUUUAAUAGAAAAAGUUCUUCACCUUACAGCUGAAGGGUUUUUACGUUAUUGUGCUCCCUCUGCUGGAUAGUGCCUAUUAAUUUUUUAUUCCCUGAGCUGUACUAAUACCCGUGUUCUAUAAACAAGCAAUCACACUGCCUUCCUGAAAGAGGUACAAAAAGUGGGAAUGCCUCAUUUUGGUCUCAGAUGACGUGGAAGGUGACGGUUGUAGGCUAGGAAAAAUCCUGUUGUCUGGCAGCUCAGAGCAAUCGAAAGCCUUUGGUGGACAUUUGAGGAACAAUUAUUUACUACCUCUUGAACAAAACCAGAUGGACAUUAAAUAACCUUCUUUCAUUUGUAUAACUUAGAGAGGAUGAUGUUGAUUCUCGUCCUCUAGUAAGUACAACAGUAUCCUCAGAUGUCCCUGUAAUGUUACUAGCAUCUCAGUCUUAGCGGCGUGGUUCUCAUAACUUGCUUCAUCCUUUGUUGAAUCUUACAGGGUUGCUGCGUUUGCUCAGCGGAGAAAGCAGAACGCGCUCUUGUGCUCAGCGCGAGCCCCGCGGCAAGGCAGGCGAUGGCUCGGCCCUUUCCCAUCUCCACCGCGGUGAGGCAAAAAGGAGGAAGAGCAAUCCUCCAGUUUUGUUUCUACAAGUGACCUUGGUCUUCACAGCCUUUGACUUCAUGGGGUGGAUUUUUGGGCUUGCUCUUCUGGUUGACCUUUCUCCUGCUGCUGUCACACGGUGAACUUGGCUUCCUCCUGCUUUCAUUCCUGCCUGCCUUCCUUCCUUCCUUCCUUCCUUCCCGGGGGGAUGUGGCUGGGGUGGGCACUGACCAGCCCCCUGAGUCCCACCGCCUCCCCGCUCUGCUCUCUGCGUUGGCCGACCCGAUCGGUCCUAUGGAAAGGGGAUGGAAACUCAACAUCCACUUCAGUUGCAGGUGAUUUGCCCAUCUGAGCUGCUUCUUCCCAGAUCUUGUGCCAUGGUUUUGCCAGGGAAGCUGGAUACCUUUGCAGUUUCCUUCAAAUUUAAUGUGAUGUUAUAAAUGCCGCUGCGUAUUAAUAACAUUGAACUGGGAGUUAUUUUUCAACUUGGCUUGGCUGCACUUACAGAUUAGCUCUCCCAUAUUUCAAUAUAGAUCAGACUGGUAGCAUAUUCCUGAAAAGAAAUGAAAAAUUACCAAUUGUUGGGAGCAAUAACUUACUUUUUAAAAACAGUAACUGUUUGACUCCUGGUUUAACUCGGAGACUCAUUUGGGGGAAAGUCAUUAUGGACAAAUUCUAGUUAAGAAUUUUUUCCUGAGGUUAGUUUUAAAUUUCAAUUUCUGGAUAUAUAAAAUAAUAUUCAAAGUCUUUGAUUCUCCCAGACAGUCCUACAGUGAAGUAAUCAGCAUAAUUAUCUCUGUGACUCUCUCUAAUAAACAAAAACUACUUCCAUGUGCAUGUACACUUUCUUUUACAAAGAAGCUGCUUUUUUAAACCAUUUCUAAAAGAACAAACUGGGUAAAAGAAUAAAUUUCCAGUUCCUAACACCUUCAGUUCUUCCUGUUCAGAAGAAAAGGCAGAUGUUUAAUACCUUUUGCUUUUGCUAAAAUAAUAAAAGCUUGCGGUGUUGAACAAAUAUUCUUCCUUAAUUUAGCGAGGCCUUAACAAAAUCAGCAUUGCUCUUUGCAGGAUGGCUUGUCCUGGGGUGAAUCACCUCCGUUGAACCAAGUCAGGGCGAUGAGGGUUCUGCUGAUGGUGGGGCUGGGCUGGGGUGGCUGGGAAGGACUUCUGCAGAAGGGACCCUCUGUGGAGGAGCUUCUAGGAUAGGGUUGAAAAUCAUUUGCCUCCGACGCCUAUUGAGUUAUAGCAACUGAAACACUCGACAGUGCUUGUCUCAGCAAAAGCACACACCAUAUGCUUUGGGAACAUUCCCAAGCAGAAUAUUAUCCUCCUAGCAGCCCGGUGAGCUCAUUAAUACUCCCGUUAUCCCAUUCAGUGGGACUAAUCCAGCAGCCCCUGAAGUCAGUGAGGAGAUUCAAGUUGUCUUUAGGAUGCUUUGAAUAAAACCUUCGAUGAAGUUUGCAUAAUUUAAGUCACACUGGUGGAAUUAUUUUCUAAAGUUAUAAAUGUUAGCUUAUUUGCCAGUUUCUUUAUUCCAAGCUACCUGUUUUCCUCCAUCUUAUGAAGAGCAGUGAUGUGAAAUGGAAAAAGGAGUGUGUUUUUAUAGCAGGAUUUGAAUUUGUGUACAUUACUGUUGUUUUCCUAAGUUUUUCCGGAGAAGGACUGGAAUAAGCUUGCAUCAGCAUUCCAUAUAAUACUAAUUCAAAUGCAAAUUUAUAUGUUGAUCAAAUGCAAAUUUAUAUGUUCUCCAAAUAUGUGAUCUGUUCAUGGGAAGAACUGUGGAAAUUUUACAGUUGAUGUGGAUAAAGAAAGCGCCAGUUUAAGCUAUUGUAGUUCUCAGUCAAUUCUGGUUAUUCUUUAUUGCUUUCUGGUCACACAACAAAUUUAAUAAAAAAAUAAUCUUUUGCAAAAUAACUUAUUAUAUGUAAGAGGAGAAUAAUUGGGCUUUGCCAAAAAGAAACCCCCCUCAGAUCCCAAUAUUUUUCCAGACUGUAUUUCUUUAUAUGCUGGAAAUUUUUUCUUUUCACUCCCAUUCAUUGUAACAGCAGAUUUUAAUUUUUCUUUUGGAAAGAAAAAAGAAAAAGAAUAGGAUAUGUGGGGAGUGAGGAAGAAUGAAACUACAAACUAAACAGACAAAAGAUACUAUUUCAAAUAAGUAUAUUUAUGGUAGUGGGAGGGAAACUUAGAUCAAACAAGAAGAAAAGACUGGAGAGGAUCUACUCCAGAUUCCACUGAUGUGGUAACAGCUGUUAUUACAGUAUCCAGCUUUUUGAAUUAAAUAUUGAUAGAAAUAAAUGAAUAAAAGACUGAGUAAACUGAAAUGUGUGUUCUGCCUUCCUAAAGCUUUUUUUCAGCAUCUGGAGUACAAGAAUCAACACCCUUUUAUACAAUUAAUAGUAUUAAAUAACGGCAUCAGCUGACAGGAAAUAAGAAAGUUCCUAUGGCAACUAAAAAUAAGCACAGGAGGAAAAACGCAUCAAAUGCUGUCAGCAGACAGCAUAAAAGGCGGUUAUAUGUAGAUAAUAGAACAAGAGCAUACACAGAAAUCCUACUUGUAAACAUAUGCGAUUCGAUAGCUUUUACUGGUAGUAUGUUCGUUUUGUUGGGUUUUUUUCCCCCAAAAUGGGAACGUGAUACCUUGGUUACAGCAUCUACUUAUCAAUAUCUCAGAUUGUUUUGCUGAGAUAGGCUCCUGGUUUACGGCCUGUGAAACAUCGGGACAGAGCCCCGCAUCUUCAGGAGAGCAGAUGUAUCCCCUCGGAUUCGUACACUGUUUAGAAAGCCUUUGGGUGCUUCAAAUCUUGUGCACGUCUGCUGCUUUCUCUCAAGCAAGUGUAAUUUGGAAGAGGAAGAGAAAUACAUGACUGAUGCAUUGAAAUCAAUCAUGAUAGCAAAUUUAAUAUCCAAAAGUUCUUCAGAUAUUCUGGAAAAAAAUCUAAGUGACGACAAAAUGUAGUGCGAUGACAUGGAAAAUUUCAGCCCCAACAGUUAAAUUCUGGAAGAGUUUUGAACGACUGAAAUGAGGGGUUUCUAAUGGGAAGAGUUUGGCAGCAUUAACUACAAAGAGCCUUAGCCAUUCAGUCUGCAAGUGCUUUUCUCAGAUCAUGAGAAUCACCUCUACCCCUAAUUCUCCCCAGAGUCGCAGUCCCUGUCAGAUUCCAAUUACAACCUGCUGCUAGGAAACCUGGCCAUAAAAGUUGGAAAAUACAGCAUGAAAGACAUUAUUAUAUACUGAGGUAUCAUCAGAAUGGUUGGUGUGUGUAUUUGGGAGGGGGUGAGGGAGUGCAGCAGCAAGGAGGUCUUUUUCAUUUCACUUGCUAGGCAUGACCCAGUGAACUUCUUAUGACUGGGAAGAUUAUGCCAGCACGUUGCAGAAAACAGAUUUUCACUAUAAGCACAUUCACUCCCCAACUGCAUGUGUCAGGGGGAAAUAAAAAAAGCCAGAUAGUUACGAUUGAUAAUACAGAAUUGAUUGGACAUGACAAAACUAUAAGAGUUUACCAAUGUGGUGGUAAAAUUAUUAAGAUUUAAGAUUUGACAGGUCCGGCUAAGAAGUUUAUCCUAACUAAAAGAACAGUCCUUUCGACUAGGAGCUAGCAGUGUGUGUUUGUUCCCCCUCCCCACCGCUGAUCGAAGGCAAUACAGGGUGUGCGUCAUCGUACAGGCUCCACCAAGGGCCACCCCUCCGUGUCCUCACCUUCUUUACUGUGGGAGUCCCUCCUAGAGCUGUGGCAGCUAGCAAGCUACUGAAGGAGUCCGUCCCCACUGGGGAUGGAUACCUGGCUUUGUUACUAUCAAAAUGAUUGGUUUUCCUCACCUCUUUCUUUUUUUUUUCUGUUUUUUUCUUUUUUCCUGCGAUCACUUGGCAGAGCACAGGGGAGCAGAGAGGGCGAUGCUGUCCAAAUGUUCUCUCCCUGUGAUCAUGCUUAAUAAAGCUCCCGUCUGACCUGUCCUAAAUUGUACCUGUGUUAUUACACACUUGGAUUCCUCAGAUCUCCAACACCAACCUGGAACCCCCAAAUUAGAUGGUAACAAGGUUCUUAUGAUAGGGUAACAAGAAAGUCACCUGCAUAUUAAAAGAAAAAUCUCUUUUUUUUUUCCCCUCCCCUUUUUCUCUUCAGUUUUAAGCCUUUUAGAGGUCUUUGCACUGUAUUUCAGUAGUCUUUAUCUUCAAGAAUUCAAGCAGCUUUUCUAGCCCAAAGGAACAACUUUUUAAGAUACCUAUUUUUCUUAGCAAGACCACAUCCACUCUGAACAGAAACAUAUUACUUGAAAUUUAUAAUGUAAUAUUGUGUCUCUGAGUCAUCAUAAUGAAUCCACAUUAGUUUAUUAUCACUUAUGUUCAGCCCCAACACAUUAUCUAAAUGAUGUUGGGUAGUUUGUAUGUCUGAACACUGGAGUCUUACAAAUGGUAGCUGCUACUCUGAUUUAGAACUUGGAUGGGCAAAAUGGUCUUUAUAAUGAGUAUUUGUUUAUUAAAAGUGAUAAAAUCUUAGGCAAGGCAUUAAAGCAAGACUGGGACAAUAGAAACACACGCUGAAAGAUUGUGGGAAACAAAUAUAUUUCGCUUUGUGUUGGAGCACCCACGACCAUACUGAACGACAUCUGCCUGGAUGCAAGUUUCCUUGCUAACACCACGUCCACGCCGGCAGACGGAGACCAAAGGUCCUGGAGAUCUGCCCCAGCUUUUGGAGGGCCGUGGAGUGUCCACCCGUUCUGCUCGUCCCGCUGCCUUCCCAAAACCUGAGGGCCUCGAGGAGGCCCAGCUCCACCAUCUGCGGCUUCUACAGGAGACGCGCGUUCCCU